AACGAACGCUGGCGGCGUGCUUAACACAUGCAAGUCGAACGGAAAGGCCCUGCUUUUGUUGGGUGCUCGAGUGGCGAACGUGUGAGUAACACGUGAGUAACCUGCCCUUGACUUUGUGAUAACUUCAGGAAACUGGGGCUAAUACCUGCUAGGAGCUCCUGCUGCAUGGUGGGGGUUGGAAAGUGUCGGCGGUUGGGGAUGGACUCGCGGCUUAUCAGCUUGUUGGUGGGGUAGUGGCUUACCAAGGCUUUGACGGGUAGCCGGCCUGAGCGGGUGACCGGCCACAUUGGGACUGAGAGACGGCCCAGACUCCUACGGGAGGCAGCAGUGGGGAAUAUUGCACAAUGGGCGGAAGCCUGAGGAAGCAACGCCGCGUGCGGGAUGACGGCCUUCGGGUUGUAAACCGCUUUCGCCUGUGACGAAGCGUGAGUGACGGUAAUGGGUAAAGAAGCACCGGCUAACUACGUG
rnacentral:rRNA from 1 species